CAUAUUUACACUGUAUUCCAUUCCAGCGCGAUGACUCAGAAUUCAGAAGGUUGGUGCUUCAGCCACCCACAGCAGGUUUUCCAGGUGCUUUUCUUCUCAGGGCCCAAGAGGAUCGUCUUGGGUGGAUGCUGCCACCUGGUGGCCAGUAUGGGAAGCUUUAAAAAGUUCCUUGAUAGAGGGAAGUGUGUCUGGUUCAGCCCUGGAAUACCGGUGCCUCCUAGGCGUUCUGCAAAUAGUAGCUGAAUGAACGAAGGAACCAAUCCACCCGAGGCAAAAUCAUCAGCAUGAAGUCGUUAGUGUAGGUGUGUGUAUCCUACAGCCACAGAAUGAAAUAUAAAAUUGGAAAAUUGAAGCGUCCGGGACCCUGAGGAACAGAAUCGUGAGCCCUUGAUGGCGAGGUUGGAUGCGUGUUGUAUUGAGAAAGUAUUGUAAUCGCGGGAGGAGGGAUCCAGACGGGAGGAGGGAUCCAGACGAUGGAGGAGUAAGCGAGGCGCUCACUUUCUGUCACAAACGCAUCAGUAAAAACCCCAUCUACAUGUAGAAGGAGUCGUACAGAAUAUCUCAGGAACGCUGUCAGAAGACCUGAAGCCUCCCCAAAGGGCAAGAAACCCUGCACAUAACUGGGUAGAACAAAAGGAAAAUAAAAAACGGGAGAGAGAGUGGAGGAAUCA
rnacentral:lncRNA from 1 species